GGAACAUCUGCCCCUCUGGCAAGAUCGGGAAGACGGGGAUGUUCACCCGGACCGCCGCUAGGAGCGACGUGCUCGGCCACGGGACCGGGAACUACGGCCAUGGGAGUGUGAUGCGGGGCGGCGGCGGCGCUGUCGCGCCGCCGCCGCCGGAUCCCGGGAUGAAGCGCGCGAUGGGGAGCUUGGAUCCGGAGGAGGUGAAGCGGGCGGGGAAUGAGAUGUAUAGACGGGGGAUGUUCGCGGAGGCGCUACGGUUGUAUGAUCGGGCGAUUGUCCUGUCG
rnacentral:misc_RNA from 1 species